UACGUAGGGGGCAAGCGUUGUCCGGAUUUAUUGGGCGUAAAGAGCGUGUAGGCGGUUUGGUAGGUCCGCUGUGAAAACUCGAGGCUCAACCUCGAGACGCCGGUGGAAACCAUCAGACUAGAGUCCGGAAGAGGAGAGUGGAAUUCCUGGUGUAGCGGUGAAAUGCGCAGAUAUCAGGAAGAACACCCGUGGCUAAGGCGGCUCUCUAGUAGCGGUACUGACGCUGAGACGCGAAAGCGUGGGGAGCGAACAGG
rnacentral:rRNA from 1 species